rnacentral:lncRNA from 13 species
GUACUAUAAAUGAUGAAGCAGGAAGCUAACUCUCCAGGGACAUUUUACUCCAAGAAAGGCUGUGUGGAAGAAUGCACUUUCCCAUGUCUGCCAGAGGCACCAGGAAAUACAGAUUUGUGGAAAGACAAAGAAAUUGGAGGCAAUGGGUGCUUCAGAAAACAAGGCUGUGGAUGAGACUGAAAAGAAGAGGAUUUGAAAGCCUUUUAAAACAGAAUCUUGUCCUGUUACCCAGCUGGAGUGCUGUGGCAUGAUCUUGGCUCUCUGCAGCUUCAACCUCCCAGGCUCAAGAGAUCCUCCUACCUCAGCCUCUUGAGUAGCUGGAACUGCAGGUAUGCAUCACCACACCUGCCUAAUUUUUUAAUUUUAACUUUUGUAGAGACAGAGUCUCACUAUGUUACUCACGCUGGUCUCAAACUCCUGGGCUCAAGUGAUCCUCCUGUCUGGGCCUCCCAAAGUGCUGGGAUUACAGGAGUGAACCAUUGUAUCUGACUGUGAACACAGUUUAAAUCUAGUUUAUAAACAUCUGCAUAUAUAGCUCACAUGUAAAAACAAGCAUGAACACAAAACUUACAAAUUUCAGAAUAGUAUUUACCUCUAGGGAGGGAAAGAUGGUGGGAUAGGACUUUAAUAGUAUCUGUAGCAUUUUACUUCUUUAAAGAGAAAAUGCUCAGAUGAUCUUAGCAGUAAUCAUAAGAGAAAGACAAAAUCAACAUUAUAUGCUCCAAUAGAAGUAUACAAGGUAUCUAUUAAAUAUUUUUGCUUUAAAAAGAGAGCUUAUAUCCCCAUAAAGGUCUAGAUUCAACCCCCAAUUUACUGAAAAACAGGGGAUCAAAAAAAAGUGUAAAUGGAGCUACUUGGAUGCAAUCGGCAAAAUUUGGAGUGUACAAAUUAUGAGAGCUAAGCAAUCUAUCAACUAAUUGCAAUGUAUGAACUUCUCUUUGGUUCUGAUUCAAACAAACUUAUAAAUUAUGAAAAAAACAGGAAUGUUUGAAUACUGAGUGAAUACUCAAGGAUAUUUAAGAAUUAUUAUUUAGGUGCUAUAUGAUAGUGUAGGUCUAUUCUUAAAUUAAUCCUUUUAUUUUAAAGAUUGAUGUUAAAAUAUGUAUGGAUGAAGUAAUAAUUAUGUCUACGACUUGCUACCAAAUAAUAUCAGGAGAUGGAGGAGUGGAUAUGUAUAUAGAUCACACAAGAUUGUUGUUUCUUCUUUUAUAUGUUUGAAAUGUCACAUUAAUAAGUUUUUUUUAAAAAGGA